AUUGAACGCUGGCGGCAGGCUUAACACAUGCAAGUCGAACGAGUGGCGGACGGGUGAGUAAUGCUUGGGAAUCUAGCUUAUGGCGGGGGAUAACUACGGGAAACUGUAGCUAAUACCGCGUACCAUAGGAUGAGCCCAAGUGGGAUUAGGUAGUUGGUGAGGUAAAGGCUCACCAAGCCGACGAUCUCUAGCUGGUCUGAGAGGAUGACCAGCCACACUGGGACUGAGACACGGCCCAGACUCCGCCUAUGAUUAACAGUAUCAAAUAUUGCGCAAUGGGGGCAACCUGACCCAGCCAUGCCGCGUGAAUGAAGAAGGCCUUAGGGUUGUAAAGUUCUUUCGGUAGCGAGGCGUUAACUACAGAAGAAGCACCGGCGAACUCCGUGCCAGCAGCCGCGGUAAUAC
rnacentral:rRNA from 1 species